rnacentral:lncRNA from 1 species
GUGGUCAUGUGCCAGUCUUCCAGUGGCCUCGGGUUCUUCUUGCUGUCAUAACUGGUCUCCUGGGGCAUCAACAAAGACAAAACAGAGAAAUCCUUCUGUAAAAAGAACAGCAUUUAUCCCCAGUGGCUUCUCACAAGCUUUCAAAGGGAAAAGGUGGAAUGGGUCACUCCUCCUAGAGCGAGUCCAGCCCAUGCUCAGGAUGCGGAGCCAUUGGCCAAGGGAUCCCGGGCUCCAGCAGUCCCGCUCCCCUCCGUACCUUAACAAACAUGAAAAACAAGUGCAGUUUCUUCAUGGGCCCCAACUCCACCCUCUCAGGUGGAAAUGUUUCUUUGGAGACUCAGCGUUGGCAAAGUUUCUCCCACCAGAUGACCAGGGCUGCCCGGGUGUCAGUGACGUGGCCGGUUCCUCUGAGAAACAGCAAAGACUUUGUCACGAAGGUGAUUCAGGUAUCAGUGUCUACGUGAAAGGAAGGACUUCUCUCACACUGAGGGCGGUGGCUUUCCGAUCGCGGGUAAGGGCCUCCCCACUACAGCAGCUCUGUCCGCUCCGUCCUCCUGUGCCGCUGCCUGCCGGCCGGGUGGGAGGACUGCUCUCAGUCCGCCCUCUGAGUUCCCUGGGCUUCCGGAAGGGCCCGAGAAGGAGUAAGAGGAGCCGGCGAGGCGAUCGGCGCCCAGGGCGGUGCACUGAGGCCCUGCAGUCUCCGCCCGUGUCACCCUCUGUGAUGCUCCCCGGUGUCCUCGCCGCCGGCCCCAGCAUCACAGCCACACACCUCGGACUCAGCUUCAUCGUCAGGCGCGGGUGGUUUCCCCGCCCUGCAGACGGCAGCAGCGCUGUCUCACAGCGGAGAGCAGAGAUGGAGGGCAGCGGCCCUCCUGCCCCUCCUCCAGGUCCCUGCAGCGGGCCGCGUUCUCUCCUUACGUCCCCUCGGUUCCAGGACACUUGUGCCGGGACCCCCCCCCAGCUCCCAAUCUUCUCAAGGACUCCCCUGCGUGCCGCCUCUUUCUCUAGCCUCUGAUCCCCUCUCUGUCUCUACUGGACCAUCCUCAUUACUGUAAGAAGAUACUCUCUUCUAGCGGGAAACACGGCAAAAAGCAAAAGGAGCCGGAACUGUGUUUCACCUGAGGCUUCACUUCUGUGCGGCGCCGUGCAGCAAAGGCCCUCGACGGUGCCCUCUUCCUCCCCAUUCUCUGCUCAGCUAGCUCAGCCUCCCUGCAGCUGGGACACAGCUGACACCGCCGCCCGGCAACACUGCUCCGGACGCCGUUCUCGCCACACUGACCAUUCCUUCCACUUUACUUUCCUGGCUCCUCCUCCUCCCAACCUGUCAAUAUACAGGAGUCCUAGGGCUCCGUCCUCCUACACACUCUCCGUGUGCGCGCGCGCGCGCGUGUGUGUGUGUAUGUGUGUGUGUGUGUGUGUGUGUGUGUGUGUGAGAGAGAGAGAGAGAGAGGGGGACUGACUCCCAGAUCGUACCUCCAGCCCUGAGCUGCAUUUGGAUGAGCAGAGGCCUCUCAGCUUUAACAGAACUGGCUACAAAGACGGAACUACGGAACUACGGUUUCUCCGAGCUCCCAAAUCCGAUGCUUCCUUCCCAAGUUUUCUCCAUCUCAGUGCACAGCACCACCAUCUGCCGAGCUACUCGGGCACAGCCAAGGAGUCGUCCUUGAGGCCCUGUCCCUAGUGCCCCAGAUCCAGCCCGUCAGUCAGGCCUGUUAGCUCCCCCACAGCCUAUCCAGUACACCAUCCCUUUCUAGCACCACCUCCUGCUCGGACCACAGCGCCUUCCAGUGGGCCGCCGCCCCUCCCCCUCCUCCUCCUCCCCCUCCUCCUCCUCCUCCCAGGGGCCAUUUGUUGUUGUUUGUUUUGGUACCGGGGAUUGAACUCAGGACCUUGUGCUUUGGAGGUGGGCGGCACCACUGAGCUAAAUCCCUGGCCCCACGGGGGCCUUUUGAAAUUGCGAAUGCAAUGAUUCCCUCCCUGGAUUCUCAUUCUCCAAGAGCUUCCCACUGCGAGUCAGAUGGACUCCACACUCUUGGCCAUGAAAUCCAGACUCCUACCCCACAGCGCUGCGCCUGCCUCUCUCUCCCUUCUCUCUCCAGCCUGGGAGCCUUCGUUUUCCUUGUUGGGUGGAGGUGUUGAACAACUUCUGCUUUCACGCAUGGAGGCCAGUGCUGCCUUCUCACUCCCGUGUGAGAGCUCCAUCUCCUCUUAUUCCUGAGCUCGCAUCCAGUUAGCUUUCCAAUUCUUACACAGAAACACGACACUCUGAGACACAGUCUGUAUAUGCCAUGGGACUCGAGCUAUGUCCUCAGCCUACCAGGGCCUUUGUACUUGCUGCUCCUCCUAUUAGAAUGCUACCCUAGAGGCUGGACAUGGUGGUCCACACCUGUAAUCCCAGUGCUCUGGGAGGCUGAGGCAGGAGGACCACGGGUUUGAGCACAGCCUGGGCAACUUAGCAACUUGACUCUGUCUCAAAUGAAUAAUAAAAAUAAAAAGGGAUAGGGAUAUAGCUCAAUGCAAAGGCCCUGGAUUCAAUUCUCAAUGCUAAGAAAUGAAAAAAAGAAAACUCUCCUCAGUAGAUUUUCCCAUAUCUGCCUCCCUCCAAACAUUCAAAUCUGAGCUCAGAUGUUCUCUUCGCAGCCUUGGCUCACGGUGGCUCAUGGCCCUCACCCCUCUCCUCUUCCAAUCUCUAGUUUUCAUGUAUUCUACUUUCUUCAGCAUCUAUUAUUGCCAGAAAGUAUCUUCUUUAUUUAUAGGUUUACUGUCUAUCUCUUCCACUGGAUUAGAAUACAAGCUCCAGGGGCGCAAGGUCUUUGUUUUAGUGGAUCCUAUAUCCACAGCGCUCUUUCCUAGUUUCUCAGCCAGACCUGGGCUCAGCAGGUACUCAUCACCUCCCUGGUUUUAGGGACUCUGAUAUGGUGGGAGUAAGAGGUCAUCUGUGUCCUCAGCAGAGAGACUGGGUCUGGCUAUGUAGCCCAAGAUGGCCUUGAGCUCACCGCAAUCUCCUGCCUCAGCCUGACGAGUGCUGAGGCUACAGGCGUGUUCCGUCACACCCAGUGUUCUUCCCACUUCUUUGAGGGUUUGGGGGAGGCAAAACCAGGAGGAGAAUGGAAAAUAAAUACUAAAAAGCCCUUACCCACCCCCAGGUUCCUCACCAGCACUGGUGGGGGCUAGGCCACCAAUCACAUGGUGCCCAUUGCCCCUGUGCACUCUUGGUGUGCGUCCGACUCAGUGGAAGUCGGAGUUGUCUCCAAUCCGGGGGCUGAGCCAGACCCACAGGGAGGAGAGGCAGGAGGAUCCCCACUUCCUUCCGGCUUUCUCCCUGGGCGCCUCUCUGAUGCUCCCUUGUUCUUUCUAAGGCUGGAGAGCUCGUCAGCCCAUGGGGUCCCCUGGCAUGGACAGCCAGGGGCUCCACCCAGAAUAUAGUCUGACCACACUGCAUCUGAUCAUACACUGUGAUUGAAAGUUGAACAUUUUAAAAUUGGGCAGGGUGUGGUGGUGUAUGGUUGUAAAUCCCAGCAAUUUAGGAGGCCAACUCAGGAGGAUUGUGAGUUCAAGGCCAGCCUGGACUACAUAGCAAGAGUCUGUUUCAAAAAAACAAAAUGAAUAAUAAAAAUUGGGAGAGCUUACAUAACAGACUGAAUAAUAGGCUUUGCUUGAUACAUCAGAACUCUGGUCUGAGUGGUGCUGGCCCUGCCUGCUUACUUCUCCCUGCCUCCCUCUGGCGACCUCACCCCUUGGCUUAUUUUGAGCAAAGUCAGCUUUCAGAAGAUUUGAAGACUCUCUGUUAGAUGCCAGUCUUAUGCUUGGCACCUGUUUGGCAUAAGGUGCUACAAAUACGGGUGCAAAGUGACCCCUGGUUUGAUGAGCUGCAGCCAGAGUUAGGUGGGAAACAAGUAGAAGAGUGUAGACAAGUGAAUGGUGAACAAUGAAAUACAGAAGAGCUAAAUACAAUCAUCAACUGUGUAUGUCAUGUAGACAAUGUUCUGGGGUCUUACUGUGGGUGGGGGACAGGGGGCAGUGGCUGAAAUUCAAGAUCAGGUGGGUAUGAGGUGAGCAUGGUUGUGCGUGCUUAUAAUCCUAGAACUUUGGAAGCUGAGGCAGGAGGAUCACAAGUUCAAGGACAGCCUGGAACAGGAGCCCCUGUCUCAAAAAGAAAGAAAGAAAGAAAGGCAGGCAGGCUAGAUUGGUAUGAGUGGGAGGACCCACUCUUGACUGUAAUUU